CCUACGGGAGGCAGCAGUGAGGAAUAUUGGACAAUGGGCGCAAGCCUGAUCCAGCCAUGCCGCGUGCAGGAAGACGGUCCUAUGGAUUGUAAACUGCUUUUAUACAGGAAGAAACACCUCUACGUGUAGAGACUUGACGGUACUGUAUGAAUAAGCAUCGGCUAACUCCGUGCCAGCAGCCGCGGUAAUACGGAGGAUGCAAGCGUUAUCCGGAAUCAUUGGGUUUAAAGGGUCCGUAGGCGGUUUAAUAAGUCAGUGGUGAAAGCCCAUCGCUCAACGAUGGAACGGCCAUUGAUACUGUUAAACUUGAAUUAUUAGGAAGUAACUAGAAUAUGUAGUGUAGCGGUGAAAUGCUUAGAGAUUACAUGGAAUACCAAUUGCGAAGGCAGGUUACUACUAAUAUAUUGACGCUGAUGGACGAAAGCGUGGGGAGCGAACAGGAUUAGAUACCCUGGUAGUCCACGCCGUAAACGAUGGAUACUAGCUGUUCGGAGCAAUCUGNGUGNGUAGAGAAGAGAGUAAGUAUACCACCGUCGGGAGGUACGUUCGUCGAGAAGUAGAAACGUUAAAGUAAGUAAGUAGUACGUACGUAGAGAGACGACGGACGACGACGACGGAGGGAGGAGG
rnacentral:rRNA from 1 species